GCUUACGGCCACACCACCCUGAGCACGCCCGAUCUCGUCCGGUCUCGGAAGCUAAGCAGGGUCGGGCCUGGUUAGUACUUGGAUGGGAGACCGCCUGGGAAUACCAGGUGCUGUAAGCU
rnacentral:rRNA from 1 species